rnacentral:misc_RNA from 1 species
GAUGAAGAACGUAGCGAAAUGCGAUAAGUAAUGUGAAUUGCAGAAUUCAGUGAAUCAUCGAAUCUUUGAACGCACAUUGCGCCCCCUGGUAUUCCGGGGGGCAUGCCUGUCCGAGCGUCAUUACAACCCUCAAGCUCAGCUUGGUGUUGGGCCCCGCCGCCCCGGCGGGCCCUAAAGUCAGUGGCGGUGCCGUCCGGCUCCGAGCGUAGUAAUUCUUCUCGCUCUGGAGGUCCGGUCGUGUGCUCGCCAGCAACCCGCAAUUUUUUUCAGGUUGACCUCGGAUCAGGUAGGGAUACCCGCUGAACUUAAGCAUAUCAAUAAGCGGAGGA